rnacentral:rRNA from 1 species
AGUAGGUGCGGUAAUGGCCUACCAAGGCGGUGAUCUGUAGGUGGUUUGAGAGGACGACCAGCCACACUGGGAAUGAGACACGUCCCAGACUCCUACGGGAGGCAGCAGUGGGGAAUUUUCGACAAUGGGGGGAACCCUGAUCGAGCCAUCUGGAGUGUGGGACGAAGGCCUUCGGGUUGUAAACCACUUUUCUCAAUGAAGAAAAGUAUUAGGCUAAUACCUUAAGAUGCUGACGGUAGUUGAGGAAUAAGCACCGCCUAAUUACGUGCCAGCAGCCGCGGUAAUACGUAGGGUGCGAGCGUUAAUCUGAAUUACUGGGCGUAAAGGGUGCGCAGGCGGCUUGGAAAGAACGGUGUGAAAUCCCGGGGCUCAACCUCGGAACUGCACUAUUAACUGCCAAGCUAGAGUAUGUCAGAGGGGGGUGGAAUUCCGCGUGUAGCAGUGAAAUGCGUAGAUAUGCGGAGGAACACCGAUGGGGAAGGCAGCCCCCUGGGAUGGUAGUGACGCUCAGGCACGAAAGCGUGGGUAGCGAACAGGAUUAGAUACCCCGGUAGUCCACGCCCUAAACGAUGUCAACUAGCUGUGGGGCCGGUU